rnacentral:tRNA from 1 species
GGGUUGAAAGCAUAGUUUUGCGUUGAAUUGCAGAUUCAAAGAUUGUAUUUUUUACUCAGCCUU